CAAUAUUAGACAUGAUAGUCGAGCAGACAGCAUGGAGCUUGCUCCCUGAUGUUAGCGGCGGACGGGUGAGUAACACGUGGGUAACCUGCCUGUAAGACUGAUAACUCCGGGAAACCGGGGCUAAUACCGGAUGCUUGUUUGAACCGCAUGUUCAAACAAAAAAGGUGGCUUCGGCUACCACUUACAGAUGGACCCGCGGGCAUUAUCUAGUUGGUGAGGUAAUGGCUCACCAAGGCCACGAUGCGUAGCCCUGAGAGGGUGAUCGGGCACACUGGGACUGACACACGGCCCAAACUCACGGGAGGCAGCAAUUUGGAAUCUUCCGCAAUGGACGAAAGUCUGACGGGACGCCGCGUGAAUGAUGAAGGUUUUCGGAUCGCUUUUUCUGUUGUUAGGAAACAAGUACCGUUCGAAUAUGGCUGGUACCUUGACGGUACCUAACCAGAACUAACGGCUUGCCUAGCGUGCCGCCAGCCGCGGUAAAUACGUAGGUCAAGUUUAUCCGAAAUUAUUGGGCGUGAGGGGGCUGGCAGGCACAUUACUAUGUCGGAUGUGAAAGCCCCCCGCCUCACCCUGCGAGUGUGAAUGGUAAACUGAGAAACUUCAGAACAAGAGAGGAGACUCCAUUUCCAAGUGUACGCUGCAUUGCGUAGAG
rnacentral:rRNA from 2 species